UACGGAGGGUGCGAGCGUUGUCCGGAAUCACUGGGCGUAAAGGGCGCGUAGGUGGCCCGUGGAAGUCUGCGGUGAAAGUCCGGCGCUCAACGCCGGAUCGGCCGUGGAUACUCUCGGGCUUGAGCUUACUAGAGGCAGUUGGAAUUCCGGGUGUAGCGGUGGAAUGCGUAGAGAUCCGGAAGAACACCGGUGGCGAAGGCGGUCUGCUGGGGUAAUGCUGACACUGAUGCGCGACAGCGUGGGGAGCAAACAGG
rnacentral:rRNA from 1 species